rnacentral:rRNA from 2 species
AGAGUUUGAUCCUGGCUCAGGAUGAACGCUGGCUACAGGCUUAACACAUGCAAGUCGAGGGGCAGCAUGCCGGUUGCUUGCAACCGGUGAUGGCGACCGGCGCACGGGUGAGUAACGCGUAUCCAACCUUCCCGCGACCAAGGGAUAACCUGCCGAAAGGCAGACUAAUACCUUAUGUCCUCCUUUGAAGGCAUCUGACGAGGAGCAAAGAUCCGUCGGUCACGGAUGGGGAUGCGUCCGAUUAGCUUGUUGGCGGGGCAACGGCCCACCAAGGCUUCGAUCGGUAGGGGUUCUGAGAGGAAGGCCCCCCACACUGGAACUGAGACACGGUCCAGACUCCUACGGGAGGCAGCAGUGAGGAAUAUUGGUCAAUGGGCGGAAGCCUGAACCAGCCAAGUAGCGUGCAGGACGACGGCCCUACGGGUUGUAAACUGCUUUUAUGCGGGGAUAAAGUUGCCCACGCGUGGGUUUUUGCAGGUACCGCAUGAAUAAGGACCGGCUAAUUCCGUGCCAGCAGCCGCGGUAAUACGGAAGGUCCGGGCGUUAUCCGGAUUUAUUGGGUUUAAAGGGAGCGCAGGCCGCCGUGCAAGCGUGCCGUGAAAAGCAGCGGCCCAACCGCUGCCCUGCGGCGCGAACUGCCUGGCUUGAGUGCGCCGGAAGCGGGCGGAAUUCGUGGUGUAGCGGUGAAAUGCUUAGAUAUCACGAAGAACCCCGAUUGCGAAGGCAGCCCGCUGUGGCGCCACUGACGCUGAGGCUCGAAGGUGCGGGUAUCGAACAGGAUUAGAUACCCUGGUAGUCCGCACGGUAAACGAUGGAUACCCGCUGUCCGGCCCGUACGGUCUGGGCGGCCAAGCGAAAGCGUUAAGUAUCCCACCUGGGGAGUACGCCGGCAACGGUGAAACUCAAAGGAAUUGACGGGGGCCCG